rnacentral:rRNA from 1 species
UAGGGAAUCUUCCACAAUGGACGCAAGUCUGAUGGAGCAACGCCGCGUGAGUGAAGAAGGUUUUCGGACCGUAAAGCUCUGUUGUUGGUGAAGAAGGAUAGAGGUAGUAACUGGCCUUUAUUUGACGGUAAUCAACCAGAAAGUCACGGCUAACUACGUGCCAGCAGCCGCGGUAAUACGUAGGUGGCAAGCGUUGUCCGGAUUUAUUGGGCGUAAAGCGAGCGCAGGCGGAAGAAUAAGUCUGAUGUGAAAGCCCUCGGCUUAACCGAGGAAUUGCAUCGGAAACUGUUUUUCUUGAGUGCAGAAGAGGAGAGUAGAACUCCAUGUGUAGCGGUGGAAUGCGUAGAUAUACGGAAGAAUACCAGUGGCGAAGGCGGCUCUCUGGUCUGCAACUGACGCUGAGGCUCGAAAGCAUGGGUAGCGAACAGGAUUAGAUACCCUGGUAGUCCAUGCCGUAAACGAUGAGUGCUAAGUGUUGGGAGGCUUCCGCCUCUCAGUGCUGCAGCUAACGCAUUAAGCACUCCGCCUGGGGGAGUACGACCGCAAGGUUGAAAC